UGGAUGCCGACUCGUGUGGCGCACUGGCGCCUGGGCCAAAUCUGGGCGUGCGACUGCCCAGCACGCCUCCUUUGGUGCACCGACGCUCACCUCACAGCCUAUUUUUUUUGUUUGCCAUGUCCUUGGUUGCCGUCUGAUUUCGUUUGUGUGCGCAGAGACGGUGAUCUAGGAGGAUCUUAGUGUGGCGGUCGCGAUCUCCACCUUUGCAGCCUCCCCGCACAUGGUUCUCAUGGUCAACAGUGGCGUGGCGUGCUUCUGAGAAAGGGGCGAUCCCGAGCUAGCCGCCGAGCUCCCUAACGGAGGAGCCAGAGCUCCAUGGUUAUGUGCACCAAGUGAGGUUCUCUCGCCUAUGUCCAGCGUUGUAUUUAGCAGUGGCAGCAGCCUGGAGAUUCCCGGCUUUGUAUUUGGCUUCGUCGAGCGGGAUGAGGCCGACGUCUGCGGACGACCCUCUCAUCAUUGGGUGGUAAUCUCGGUUACGUGGUUUCUAUUUACAUGUCCUAUACUACUACCAACUGCGAAGGAUGAGAAGAGUCGUGUUUCUUGCCUGCCGAAAAUUGGUUUACUUUAACUCUGUCCAUAGUUGGCUGAUCCGACCAGGACAUCGGUUUUUUGGGAUCGUUUGUCAUUACCUUGUUAUAAUAAAUCUACUAUGUUUACCUUGUAUGAUCAUGUGAAAUUGUGGAAACAUCCGCUUUUACUAAUUCAUCUGUAGUAAAAGUAAGUAUAUGAUUGUUGCAUUGCUCUGACCAUAUAUCCAACAUGACACAGGUUUACAGCGACCUGGCCGUUGACUACUUGAAGAUGUUCCAGAAACCGUCGUUGCUCUAGAGCUGUGAGUACAUCUACAUUUAUUUUCUUUUUACAGCUUGUGUACUUCUCAAGUUGAAUUUAAACUGUUCGCAGCAAACAUUCUUUUGCUACUGAAGAGGAACUUCCUAUUUAGUUAUGUCAGCCAACUCCUUUUAUGAUAAUUUAUAUUUGCUGAUCUGUUUGACGUGCUGGCAUGAGCCUUUUAUGAAGUUGACCUGCUGACAUGAAGCUUCCGAGCCAACAGUGUAUAUUUCAGUUACUCCUAAGUUUGAGUGACAUUCGGUUUUAGUUCCUUCGUUCAAACCAGGUGCAUUUUUUUAGGUUGUCGUCGUCUUCCCGAUGGAUGUACGACUCUUCUCAACAGCAGCGUUACAGGAGCAUGGCGGCGGCGGCGGCUUCUCCGACCUUGCCGUCAAGCUGGUAACGCCGGAGUCGACUCGGGGAGGCAGCCGACCAUGUCCAGGUCCACCCAGGACAUGUAGACCAAGGAAGAGCUGGAGGUAUCGGCGACCAGCAAGGAGGAUUUCUUCAUUAGGUGGAUGGCCGAGAACGAGUCCAAGCCUCAAGGGAUCCCAUCCUCCCAGGGCAGCAAGUAGGCUUUGGAUCCACCCCGCGAACAACGGGGCUGCCCAGGGCGAUGUCAUGCAAGUCGUCUCACAGGUAAACAAUUAUCUAUGCUAUCUACCAUAAUCUCGUGGUUGCGAUCAAACAGAUGUACAAACAUGAAACCUUCCAGGCAGUUCACUAUACAUGACUUUUAUCUCAAAGGAUUGACUUUGGCCACACCGUCUUGAUCAAAGAGCUCGGGUUACACAAAUCUCCCUUCUUUGUGUACUGGAACAGCUACCACUUCCUUAGAACAGCACUAACUUACCACUCUAUAAAAAGAAAAAAGCAAGAGGCUAUAGUACUGUAAGCACGUAACCUUUACUGGUUUUGAAAAGGGAAAAUCUGCUAUAUCAUGAAGUUGGUAACUUUAGAUCUGCAAAUGGUGAUCUGCUAAUUAAAAUUUUGAGGGGUUGAAUGGCAAUGCUGCAAUAACUAUUGAUUAUCAUCACAUACUGUUCCUAUUAGAGCUGUGAGACACCCAUCUUGGUUGUUUUGCGCCAUGGAUUUUCUGAAGCAUAUGUGGUUAAAACACCAUUUCUAACUCAUGCAAAAGUGAGCUCUCAUACAUGUCUGAAAAGAAGGAACGAUAAGAAGUAUUUCUAUCUCUUAGGUUGAUUUUUUUUUGUCUUGGCCUGACUCCCGAUAAGCUCUAUGCAGGAACAAUAUUGAUAUGCAAAAAGGGACUGAUACAGAGGUAGUUACCAUAUCCAUUUUUACGCAGAUUUCUGUACUUUGAUGUGUAAGCAGAAGGUUUGUAGAAUUUUAUAGGAAGACUUGGAUUUGCCAAAGAAAAAUGACCUUUUGAUCUUAGUUUACUGAAGUAUUGUUUAUUUGACAAGACAAUGCACUUCCAAUCACUCUUAGUUCUGAGAAAUUCUCAGGAUGCUAUGAAGCAGCAGGGAGUCAUACAAUGAUGGCAUAAUUUUAUUUAUUUCAUUAGUCAAUCAACUCUUUACUGUACAUGUCCCAAGAUGCUCAUUUCUGUACUGAACUCGCUGUUUCCGUUUCUUAUUGAUUUUUUUGCGAAUGCUUCUGAUGUGUAUCCUCAAAAAUUCAGAAAAUAAGAACUUAGCUUGCAAAAUGUUCUCAUUGGUCUGCUUGGAUCUUGGUUACUUCGUUUAUUUUCUCCUUGGAUCUUGAAGACUGCCUCUAUUCUCCUUUUCUAUGCAUUGUUUAAUGAUUUUUCAAUGUUGUUGUAUGGACAUUAGGUUUGGGCGUUUGGCUCUCCAUUUGUAGUUUUAGUGAAGUAGAUUGGAGAGACAUAUCAUAAAUGGUAGCUAUAUUCUCGGUUCAGUAUUAUGAUAGUAUCAGUGAAAUUGACCAUGCCAAUGUUUUCUUCCUCUCUAGAAGUGCGAUAUUUUAUUCCGCAAAAGGAAGCCAUUGGUGAAAAAGAGGUCAAGCUUUGAUUCUAUUUGAGUUUAUGCUCUCUUUGUAAUCCCGUUUUCCUUUCUAAUUAGCAUUUGAUUGUGUUUCAAUGGCAAGAUGAAGUAUAGUUGGCAUUUGCAAAUACACUGCAAGAUGGAAAGUACAAGAAAUCUGUGAAAAUAUGCCAAUGAUAUUCUAAUACAAAGUAGGUUGCAAUGGGUCAUCAAGACUAUGGGAGAUAACAACACCAGCAAUUCAGGCAACAACACUCCCUAUUCAUUGCAGUUUUUAUCUUCUUGGAAGAAAUUAUCUUGCAAGCUGAUAAAACUUAUAAAAGGAGACUGGGACAUACUGUUGGCCGGCCUUGCCAUUGCCGUCAUCAGAGACCAUUUGCAUGUGUGUGCCAUGCGCUGCUAUUGGUGAGAUUUCUUGGUCUUUAGUUUGCUACCCCCAUUUGUAAUUACUCAAUAAGUAAGACUAAGCAGCUUUUCUAUCUGGACCUUGGUGCAUAAAUUUCUUGGGCAACUGAAUCCGAAAUAAGCAGCUUAGUCUUAGUUGUAGAUGCUAGCGACUGUGUUACCACACCAUGAUUAUACUGUAGGUAGGUUGAGAUGUGCAGGGUGUCGCAUUCGCUGAUGAAUAUUAGUCAAUAGGUAUCAGAAAUCGGUCAAUUACGCGAGAAGUUUAAGUGUUGCUUUCUUGUGGAGAGCACUGAUGGCUGGAGAUUAUUGAAGCACUUUGUUUGUUCAAGUUAGAUGCUACAUAUUUUCAUUGUAAAUACUACUGGUUGUUUAACUGAAUGAAGUUAUUUAAGUUUAGAUGUGUUGUGCCUCUGAACUCUUUCCUCAAUGAAGGUACAAUAUGCAA